UACAGGGGGUGCAAACGUUGCUCGGAAUUAUUGGGCGUAAAGAGCUCGUAGGCGGUUUGUUGCGUCGGCUGUGAAAUCCCGAGGCUCAACCUCGGGUCUGCAGUCGAUACGAGCAAACUAGAGUGUUGCAGGGGAGACUGGAAUUCCUGGUGUAGCGGUGAAAUGCGCAGAUAUCAGGAGGAACACCGGUGGCGAAGGCGGGUCUCUGGGCAACAACUGACGCUGAGGAGCGAAAGCGUGGGGAGCGAACAGG
rnacentral:rRNA from 1 species